CAGCAGCCACGGGAAUACGAGGGGGGCAAGCGUUGUUCGGAAUUAUUGGGCGUAAAGGGUGCGUAGGCGGUUUGGCAAGUUUGGUGUGAAAUCUUCGGGCUCAACUCGAAGUCUGCAUCGAAAACUGCCGGGCUUGAGUAUGGGAGAGGUGAGUGGAAUUUCCGGUGUAGCGGUGAAAUGCGUAGAUAUCGGAAGGAACACCUGUGGCGAAAGCGGCUCACUGGACCAUAACUGACGCUGAUGCACGAAAGCUAGGGGAGCAAACAGGAUUAGAUACCCGCGUAGUCCCUGUCUCUUAUAC
rnacentral:rRNA from 1 species